GGAUGGGGAAGGCGGCGGCGGCGGUGGCCUUUGGGGCCGAAGUGGGCGUGCGGCUCGCGCUGUUCGCGGCCUUCCUGUAAGAAAGAUCCACGGCCGGGCCCGGGCGGCCCCGCUUCCCAGGGUGACGGAGCUGCUCCCCCCGUUCCAGAGACUCAUCCAGCCGGAGGAGAUGUGGCUCUACCGGAACCCCUACGUGGAGGCGGAGUAUUUCCCCACCAAGCCGAUGUUUGUGCGUGGAGAAAGAUCGUCUUUCCUCCCUCCCCAUGACCCGGCUUCCCGCGGGCACCUGUGCGUUUUCCACCCCGAGACGGCCUUUGUAGGGACCCACUGCCCACUCCGCUGCUGUGCGCUGGGUUCCGCCUCCUAGGGCUCGAGUGUUUAAGAUCCUGAUUGAGAGAGGAGGGUGUCCGAGCCUCUUUGGGCUGAGACAACGUUUUCCCGGGCGCUCUGUGCCUCAGCCUGAGGUACCGGGGCCCGAGCCGCACGGGCGCUGCUGUUCACUGGUGGCGCUGCCUGGCGCCCGGUUACGCGCACUCAGAGACCUUAUGUUAGCUCCAGUGAGUCCUGCUGUGUCACAUCCCUCUUUCCUGUAGGAGCACGAGUGUGGCUUUUUUUUGGAUUGUUUUUAACCUCUGACAUUCUGAUUCAGGUUAUUGCAUUUCUCUCUCCACUGUCUCUGAUCUUCCUGGCCAAAUUUCUCAAGAAGGCAGACACAAGAGACAGCAGACAAGCCUGCCUGGCUGCCAGCCUUGCCCUGGCUCUGAAUGGCGUCUUUACCAACACAAUAAAACUGAUCGUAGGGAGGCCACGCCCAGAUUUCUUCUACCGCUGCUUCCCUGAUGGGCUAGCCCAUUCUGACUUGAUGUGUACAGGGGAUAAGGACGUGGUGAAUGAGGGCCGAAAGAGCUUCCCCAGUGGACAUUCUUCCUGUAUGAAUAUCAUAUGGACUCUACCCUAUGCUUGUUUUCACAUCAUUGAAUUUAACCUAGAAAGCUAGUAGGGAUGGGAAAAUCUGACUACUCUUGUUUCUACAAUUUGGAAAAUCCCCCCUUCUUUAGUAACUCCACAGUUUAACAAGUCUGAGCCUUGACUAUUUGGGUAAAUAUUACAGAACAGAAAGGUAGUUUACCUUCAUGAGAUUUGCACAUUUAAUUGUUAUAUUAUUUGCCUAGAUCCUGCAAUCUUGUACUAGCAA
rnacentral:lncRNA from 1 species